rnacentral:rRNA from 1 species
GAUGAACGCUGGCGGCGUGCCUAAUACAUGCAAGUCGAGCGAACAGACGAGGAGCUUGCUCCUCUGACGUUAGCGGCGGACGGGUGAGUAACACGUGGAUAACCUACCUAUAAGACUGGGAUAACUUCGGGAAACCGGAGCUAAUACCGGAUAAUAUAUUGAACCGCAUGGUUCAAUAGUGAAAGACGGUUUUGCUGUCACUUAUAGAUGGAUCCGCGCCGCAUUUGCUAGUUGGUAAGGUAACGGCUUACCAAGGCGACGAUGCGUAGCCGACCUGAGAGGGUGAUCGGCCACACUGGAACGGAGACACGGUCCAGACUCCUACGGGAGGCAGCAGUAGGGAAUCUUCCGCAAUGGGCGAAAGCCUGACGGAGCAACGCCGCGUGAGUGAUGAAGGUCUUCGGAUCGUAAAACUCUGUUAUUAGGGAAGAACAAAUGUGUAAGUAACUAUGCACGUCUUGACGGUACCUAAUCAGAAAGCCACGGCUAACUACGUG